GAUGAACGCUGGCGGCGUGCCUAACACAUGCAAGUCGAACGAAGAGGCUCCUUCGGGAGUACUUCAGUGGCGGACGGGUGAGUAACACGUAGGUGACCUGCCCCGAAGCAGGGGAUAACGGCUCGAAAGGGCCGCUAAUACCCAAAAGGGUCGUGAGUCGCAUCGCGAUCAGAGUUACGGCGUUUCGGGAGGGGCCUGCGGCCCAUCAGCUAGUUGGUAGGGUAAAGGCCUACCAAGGCUACGACGGAUAGGGGGCCUGAGAGGGUGGCCCCCCACACUGGCACUGAAACACGGGCCAGACACCUACGGGUGGCUG
rnacentral:rRNA from 1 species